rnacentral:rRNA from 1 species
AUUGAACGCUGGCGGCAUGCCUUACACAUGCAAGUCGAACGGCAGCACGGGUGCUUACACCUGGUGGCGAGUGGCGAACGGGUGAGUAAUACAUCGGAACGUACCUUAUCGUGGGGGAUAACGCAGCGAAAGCUGUGCUAAUACCGCAUACGCCCUGAGGGGGAAAGCGGGGGAUCGCAAGACCUCGCGCGAUUAGAGCGGCCGAUGCCUGAUUAGCUUGUUGGUGGGGUAAAAGCCCACCAAGGCGACGAGCAGUAGCUGGUCUGAGAGGGCGAGCAGCCACGCUGGGACUGAGACACGGCCCAGACUCCUACGGGAGGCAGCAGUGGGGAAUUUUGGACAAUGGGGGCAACCCUGAUCCAGCAAUGCCGCGUGAGUGAAGAAGGCCUUCGGGUUGUAAAGCUCUUUUGUCAGGGAAGAAACACCGGCUCUAACACAGUCCGGGAAUGACGGUACCUGAAGAAUAAGCACCGGCUAACUACGUGCCAGCCGCCGCAGUAA